UUAACAAAAACAUGUCUUUUUGAGAAUAAUUUAAAGUCUAAUCUGCUCAAUGAAGAUUAAAUUGCCGCAGUAUUUUGACUGUGCAAAGGUAGCAUAAUAAUUAGCUUCUUAAUUAGAAGCUGGAAUGAAUGAUUGGACAAGAAAAUUUCUGUCUCUAUUUAAAUGUUUAUUGAAUUUUAUUUUUAAGUUAAAAAGCUUAAAUUUAUAUAAAAGACGAGAAGACCCUAUAGAGUUUAAUAUUUUUUAUUUAUUUAAUUUUAGAAUUUUUUUUGAAUUUUAAAUAUUUAAUUGGGGUGAUUUAAAGAUUUGAAUAAUUCUUUAAUUUUUUUAUUGAUGAUAAUUAAGUUUUAAAUCUAUAUUUUUAAAUUUAAUAUAAAUUACCUUAGGGAUAACAGCGUGAUUUUUCUUUAAAGUUCUUAUUAAAAGAAGAUUUUGCGACCUCGAUGUUGGAUUAAAAUUAAUUUUUGGUGCAGUAACUUAAAAAUUAGGUCUGUUCGACCUUUAAAAUUUUACAUGAUCUGAGUUUAAACCGGUGUAAGCCAGGUUGGAUUCUAUCUUUAGAUUUAUUACAUAUUUUAGUACGAAAGGACCAAAUAUUUAUUAUAAUAAUUG
rnacentral:rRNA from 1 species